rnacentral:rRNA from 1 species
UACGGAGGGUGCAAGCGUUGUCCGGAAUCACUGGGCGUAAAGGGCCUCGUAGGCGGUUUGUCGCGUCGGGAGUGAAAUCCAUUGGCUUAACUGGUGGCUUGCUUUCGAUACGGGCAGACUGGAGGUAUGCAGGGGAGAACGGAAUUCCUGGUGUAGCGGUGAAAUGCGCAGAUAUCAGGAGGAACACCGGUGGCGAAGGCAGGUCUCUGGGCCACUACUGACGCUGGAGAAGCGAAAGCUGGGGAGCAAACAGG